CCCAACUGGUGUCCAUCCAAACACUCCACCCAGGGUUGUUUAUGUUGCAGAAGGAAGAAUGACCUCCCCAGAACCAGUUUUUGAGGAAAAGAAGGACUAUUGAUAUAGCCAGAGUCCCAGAAGAAGAUCACUCUGCAACAGCUACAGCUGAGUCUCCUGCCAUACAUGGGGACCCCCUUAAAUCUAGGAAGAGCUGGCUGGUAUUGACACUCAGAGAGGGAGCCGGGGCCUAUAGCCCUGGCACACGGCAGAGAAGAGCAACCAAGCACGGAUGCCGCCCAGGGAUUGUGACAAGAAUGGUGUCACCUUUCCACAUCUCUAAACACCACUGGACUUCCUGGGUCAGGUGGGCACCACAAGUAGGAAGGCAGUGGACA
rnacentral:lncRNA from 1 species